GAUGAACGCUGGCGGGAGGCCUAACACAUGCAAGCCGAGCGGUAUUUGUUCUUCGGGAUUGAGAGAGCGGCGCACGGGUGCGGAACACGCGUGCAACCUGCCUUUAUCUGGGGGAUAGCCUUUCGAAAGGAAGAUUAAUACCCCAUAAUAAAUUGAGUAGCAUCCCUUGCUAUUGAAAACUCCGUUGGAUAGAGAUGGGCACGCGUAAGAUUAGAUAGUUGGUGAGGUAAAGGCUCACCAAGUCAAGGAUCGUAAGGGGGACUGAGAGGGUGAUCACCCACACUGGUACUGAGACACGGACCAGACGCGUACGAGAGGCAGCGGUGGGGAAGAAUGGGCAAUGAGUUAGCGCCUGAUCCAGCCAGCCCGCGUAGAGGACGACGGCCCUGUGGGUUGUAAACUUCUGUUGUAUAGGGAUAAACCUACUCACGGGAGAGUAGCUGAAGGUACUAUACGAAUAAGCACCGGCUAACUCCGUG
rnacentral:rRNA from 1 species